rnacentral:rRNA from 1 species
CCCUUAGAUGUCCGGGGCUGCACGCGCGCUACACUGAAGGAAUCAGCGUGCUAAAACCAUUGUCGAAAGGCAUUGGUAAACCCAUUAAAAUCCUACGUGUUUGGGAUCGGGAAUUGCAAUUAUUUCCCUUGAACGAGGAAUUCCCAGUAAGUGUGGGUCAUAAGCUCGCGUUGAUUACGUCCCUGCCCUUUGUACACACCGCCCGUCGCUGCCCGGGACUGAGCCGUUUCGAGAAAAGCGGGGACUGCUGCUGUCGGGGCUUUCGGGCCUUGGCUUCGGUGGAAACCGCUUUAAUCGCAGUGGCUUGAACCGGGCAAAAGUCGUAACA